rnacentral:tRNA from 1 species
GUCAUGGUGGCCGAGUGGUUAAGGCGUUGGACUCGAAAUCCAAUGGGGUCUCCCCACACAGGUUCAAAUCUUGUCCAUGACG